GUGAAGAAAGGAACAAGGUUUUCAGCUAAUAACAUGGUUUGGGAAGGGAGUUUGAAAAGAGAAGAUAAAGAAAGAAAUACUCAUCUAGGAGAGUAGGAGUGUGGAUGGACUAGAAAAAAGAAAAAGAAAUCCUUGGUCCCCAACAUGGAAAUCCAAGGCAUAAAGAAAUCAUAGGCUCUGAAUCACCUGGGGAGGAAACUGCUGCAGACCAAAUUGCAUUUUAGUUCCAUUAAAUCAGAAACUUGGAUUGCUGGAUUCAGGUACAAGUAUUUUUAAAGCUCCCUAAGUGAUUAUAGUGUAUAGCCAAAGUUGAGAACAACUACUUUGGAGCCACUGGUCUAAUGGAACAAAUUGCAUUGAUUUACUUCCCUUAAUAUUACUAUGUAUAACUAACUAAAUAAGAUGUAUUAUUUUAUGUUUCUUCUUAAUAUUGGCAUAAACCAAUAAAUGAGUGUAUGUAUGUUUCACUGAUAGAA
rnacentral:lncRNA from 1 species